rnacentral:rRNA from 1 species
CACUACAGUCAUAUCACCUUGGGCCUGUGCUCUUGUCAGAUCGCAUAAACUAAAUGGGGUCAAGCCUGGUUAGUACUUGGAUGGGAAACUUCCAUGGGAAACAAGGGUGUUGAAGGAA